rnacentral:rRNA from 1 species
GAUGAACGCUGGCGGCGUGCCUAAUACAUGCAAGUCGAGCGAACAGAUGAUGAGCUUGCUCCUCUGACGUUAGCGGCGGACGGGUGAGUAACACGUGGAUAACCUACCUAUAAGACUGGGAUAACUUCGGGAAACCGGAGCUAAUACCGGAUAAUAUAUUGAACCGCAUGGUUCAAUAGUGAAAGACGGCUUUGCUGUCACUUAUAGCUGGAUCCGCGCCGCAUUAGCUAGUUGGUAAGGUAACGGCUUACCAAGGCAACGAUGCGUAGCCGACCUGAGAGGGUGAUCGGCCACACUGGAACUGAGACACGGUCCAGACUCCUACGGGAGGCAGCAGUAGGGAAUAUUCGGCAAUGGGCGAAAGCCUGACGGAGCAACGCCGCGUGAGUGAUGAAGGUCUUCGGAUCGUAAAACUCUGUUAUUAGGGAAGAACAAAUGUGUAAGUAACUAUGCACGUCUUGACGGUACCUAAUCAGAAAGCCACGGCUAACUACGUG